AGAGAGAGAGAGAGAGAGAGAGUGAGAGAGGAUUGUACGCGUGUGAGUAGGCCUGAAAGAUGCUGCUGAGUACGGGCUAAAUACCUUUGAGCAACAUUUGUAUUCUAAUUUAGUAAAUAAAUUAAACACUACACUGUUUUUUAUGGUUGGUUAACGUACUUAAACGGUACUAUUUAGUUAAAGACCAACGUUAAUAAUAUAUUGAUGUAAAGCGUAAAACAGAAAAACCAAAAUGAAAAUAAAGGUCAAGUUCUGUGUGUUUCCUAUAUUACAUAGGUAUAAGUGAUGCAAGAUAACAUUGUUAAGUUUGUGGCUGCGUGAUUCUGUGUUUUGGAUAAUUAUCAUACGAUAUGAUAUUCUUCACUGCAAACACGUUACUUUUUAUGACUUCUAUCCAUGCUGUUACAAGUACUAUCACCACGCUUUAGCAAUGAAGUAACAAGUGAGCGGCAAAACCGUAGUGUUGCCAUGACUACAGAAACUUAUACGGUAGCGAUGACUGAUCCACAAUUAGUAAACAACAAUAAUCAGAAUAACAGCACAGAAACCAGCAAUAACUAUAAUAAUAAUAACCACGAUAAUAAAAAUCAUAAUCACUAUGACGGAGAACCAAAAUAUAGACACAAAAAAUUUAAAAAAAUGGCAACGUGCCGACAUGUCAUUGAUGGUGUAAUCCCAGAUACAAAAACUCUUGGAAUAAAUGCAGAUACCUUCAAUAAUGCGAUUGAAACUCGCAAGUUAGGCUACGUUUGCCCAUAUUGUAAAAUUUCAUGCGCUAAGCCUAGCGUUCUUCAAAAACACAUUAGAGCUCAUACAAAUGAGAGGCCUUAUCCAUGCGUGCCUUGUGGAUUUGCCUUCAAAACAAAGUCUAAUCUUUAUAAACAUUGCAGAUCUAGAGCUCACACUCUUAAGAUGGAGGGCCCAGAUACUUCUAAGAUUAUGCAGACUUCUUCACAGUUAUCUGAGGACUCAGAUGUAAGCUUGUCAGAUGGUACAAGUAACGGCACGAACACUCCGCCACCUAUGCAAUUUAUGCCUUUGUUGUCUUACAACUCUAGUACUAGUAUGAGUUUCAAUUCUAAAAUUACAUCAAGUUCUAAAAAAUAUGACAAAAUUUACAAACCUAAGUUUCACACAGUAUUACAUGAUAAUUUUACAAUUGAAAAAUCACGUAGUGAUUUCUCAAAUAAUGAACGGCUACAUGGACAUAUAGAGAGCAUUAUCGAUGAUAAUGCAACAGUGGUCGAUCCGAAGUUACGUAAACUUCUGCAUCGUCAAAAUAGCCUUGCUGAACUAGUAGGCCAUGAGUCUGAAUAUUCUCGCAAGCGUUGUUUUAGUGAAUGUGUCAUAACUGAUUUCAACUCUGAACAGAUAUCUGAUUGUAAAGUAGUUUCGGAACCACAAAAGUCACCGGGGCCAUUAUUAGGUAAUACAAAGCUUAUUGAAGUCAUAAAACAACCGCGGCUUGAACAUGAACUAUCGCAAACAGUUCGACCUAAUUCACUGCAAAUGUUCGGUGGAGAGGUAAAAAUACUUGAUACCAAGGGAGAAAGAAAGACGAUGCGAAUUGAUUUACGACCAACUGAAAUGAAUUCAGGAUCAAAAUCUCAUAAUAAUUCUUCCCAGAAUCCUGAAACAGCUUCCAUUGUUGUGCGUUCAAGCCUACAUUCAGGUGGUACUAUGCUUCAUAAAAUCAUAAAUCCUGGAUCUCAAGUUAAUGAAGCUGAUUCUAUACCAACGACCAUCAACCUUUCAAGUAUUGCCCCAAAUAUUUCAACACCUAGUCUUGCCCCCAGCGUUUCGUGUUUAAGCUACCUCAAACAGCCGGCUAAGAUUUUUCAUGACGGUCGAAUGAUCCCUUAUGUACCAGGCAUACCAGGUCCUGAGAAUUUGUCAAUGCCAUUAGUUCCAGUUGAUGAACUGCAUAAUGAAAGUGCAACCGUUUCUAUUGAUACUAAUUAUUUCAAAAAAUUAGAAAUAUUAAAACCUUGCAGCUCAGAAAACGAUAUUAGUACUACCAAGUUUCUACGACCGAGUUCGUUACCACUUAAACCUGGAACAUUUACUCCAAAGCGCCAUCACGGUAUUACACCAAAUGCUCACACUCUAGCUCUUAUAAGCCCUGAAACGCCGAGACCAAAAAAAUCAUACGGCCAACUAUAUUUAAAUGGACAUGCUUACACUUACCUUGGUCUCAAAUGCUCAACUAAAUUAUUUUAUUGCACUCUCAAUCGACCUCAACCAAUGUAUGUUAGACAGCAGGAUGGCCUUUCAAUGUACUCCAAUUGGAAAAUAUGUAAAGAAGCAUUACCCUCACUUGAGCUAAAUCACUAUGACUCACGUCAUCGACCUGCUCGUUAUACUCUUGCUUAUACUCGUACAGAAGAUAUUCUCACGCAUUCAUCACAACGAAGACCAAAUACGCCUAUAAGCCCUGACAGCGGACUUGAAUGCGAUGGUCAGGAUAAAAGUAAGCGCAACAUUCUUAAGAUUUUUUCUGGCGGCUUUGAAAGUAAUGAAGAUUAUACAUAUGUACGAGGUAGAGGUCGUGGUCGCUAUGUUUGUGAAGAAUGCGGAAUUAGAUGUAAAAAGCCCUCUAUGUUAAAAAAACACAUACGAACACACACUGAUGUGCGGCCAUAUACGUGCAAGUACUGUGCAUUUAGUUUUAAAACCAAGGGGAAUUUAACCAAGCACAUGAAAUCUAAGACUCAUUAUAAAAAAUGUGUAGAUCUGAAGAUAUUACCAGUGCCAACAAAUGUCGAAGAAAGUAAUAUCGAUAAGGAUGCUUUAAGUCAAGUAACUUUUGCUGGAGUCAAUAUCGACGAAAUAUCUUCAUCCGAAGAAGACAGUGAGCAUGAAGCAGAAAUUGAAAGUGAUGAAUCUGGUUGUGAGGAGCAUGAGGCUGCUAAAAGUUUAUUACAGCUUGCAAUACCACAACUGUCUGGCUUAUUAUCAACUGCUCGUCCUGCUACCUAUCCCUAUAGUCAUAUUGAAACCAUCGAUCAUAUACCCGAAGCUUACUCUAGAAUAAGUGUUAUUCGUACGUGUAAAGGUUCAGAUGAAUCUAAUUUGGCUAAGCCAAUGGAUCUUACAACGAAACAGAUCGAAAUGAAAAUAGAGAAAGAAAUUACAUCACAGAUCAAAUUACCAUCAGAAGUUCUAUUAGCACAAAGUGUAGAAAAAUCAACGCAAUACAAAAACUCAAAUAACAUACUUAGCAAAGUUUCUGGUUCAGCAUUAUUGCAAUCCAUAGUGCAAACUAUGAAACGAUUACCAAUGCAAGAACAUAAUUGGCCGAUAGAUUUAACUGAGGGUCGAAUGUUGCAGGCAUAUUUAACAGAGCGACAUUUGAUGGAUAGCAAAUUAAAACAGCAUUGUCGUAUAAAUAUUAUUAAUAGGGAAAAGAAUAGUGGUUUGCUUACAGAAUCGAUUGUGUCGUCGUUAAAAUAUAAGAAAGUAACUUCUAUGCCACCUUCAAAGAAGUUCGAGCAUGUUUCUGAAACUUUAAAUCAUAUAGAACUGACACAACAUUUACCAUUCAUACAAAGCAAACUUCAAUCCAAUAACUAUCUUUAUAACAAAACUCCUAAUCUUCCUAUCACAGACAGCAGCGAUAAGAAACAGCAAGUACAAUUUAUUGAGAAAAAUAUUGUUGUUACUAAAACUGAACUUAAUUUGGAGUCAUCUUCAAAUGUUCCUUCAUCUGUGAUGUCCAAAGGAUUAGAAAUCUUUGAACCAUCAUCUACAAAAAAUGCAAUCAAUUAUAUAAGUAUGACCGAGGACACACGCAAUGUUUGUAGUAUCUGUAAUAAAGUAUUCAAUAAACCCAGCCAACUUAGACUUCACAUCAACAUACAUUAUUUUGAGCGUCCUUUUAGAUGCGAAAGCUGCGGUACAUCUUUUCGUACGAAAGGUCAUCUUACGAAACAUGAAAGGUCUACCCUUCACCAUAAUAAGGCGCAGCCUGUUGCCCUUGUGAACUUCAUGGAUGUCCUAUUUGGUUCGACGAUGCGGUUUGUCAAUAUGAAUUCAAAUCAUAUAAAUGAUUCACCUGUAGAAAAAACUGGUGCUGUGUUAAAGGAUUCUGUAUUGUACCACUUGCUAUAGUUUAAAUAAUUAUUGCUGUAAUCCAAAUGCAUGUUCCAAGUUGAUGUUUCACUGAUGAUUUAAAAUUCAUUGUGUAUGCUCUGCAGCCCAUCAAAAAAGGAGAUGAAAUAUGUGAGUUUUCUAUGAAGUUCCCAAUCCCCACAGACGCAAUAUUCGUAGGGAAACUUAUAGUUUUAAUUGUCUAGCUUAUGAAAAUAAGUGGCUUAUUUGUUCAAUUAUUAAAACUAGAUGUGAGGAGUUAGUUAGAAAGACGAAAAUGGAAUCUAAAGAAGUUAAAAUUUGGAACAAGUAUCAAAAAUUGAUGGCAAAUAUUGAAAAGAAAAUGCAUUUUAUGAUUUAAAUCUUAUACAUAUACAGUCUAUCUAAAAUAAUUGAAUCUGCGUAACAGAUUAGAUCAACCAGCAGUCACUAUUUAUAAGAUAAUUCAUGCUCUAAUAUUAGUAUUUGAAUCUUUAUAUGUAUAUACGUUAAAAGUGUUCAAUGACUGUUGAACUAUAAAAAAGAUUAUUACAUUUUUUUACAUGAGCAACGUGAUUCUGAUUAAUCACAUAAUUCUUAAUGCCGCACCAUUUGUCUAUUCUGCAAAGUGCCUGAAAAAUAUGAUUAGGAAAACUUUGAAGCGUCCGAAAAAGCGCGAAGCAUUGGCAAUGAAUUCCUUAAUAGUUGAUUACCAAGACAUUCGAAAAUAGUACAAUGAGGCCAUCGCUAUGACGCCACCGAACUCGGAUAUGCUAGCUCUAGCCUAUGGAAACAGAUCUUGUCUACUGUUAACUGAAGCAGGUCGAUGCAAAGGAUAAAGAUGAAAAGUUUCGCAAAAUAGUUAAAAAAGCAAGGUCUGAAUCUGAGAUUGAAGAAGAUGAGUGGUCAAAAAUAAAACCAAUUGAUGUUCAACAUAAGGAUAGAGUUACUAAACGACUUCAAGGUGCCUGGGGUGAUCUAAUCGUUCAAAAAACAACAGUUCUUUAAGAAGCUCACUCAACCUUGGUUUAUUUUUAUUGGACAUUGCAAUUACAAUGCAAUUGUGGUGCAAAGAUACAUGAAAAGUGCGAACAAAGAUUAGAAGAUGCGAAAAGUGAAAGUUAUUAUUAAUACUUCUUAUACAAGAGGAAUCAAUCAUGUAAAAAGUGCAAGACCUUUGGCAAAAGAGCGUAGACAAGAAGUUAAAAAGAGGCUAAUACUUGAGAAAGCUACUAUUUAUAGUCAUAAAGAAACAAACAGAUUAAUGAACGACAGUGGUACUGAUUCACCAUUUUUAAAUUCUACCUUGGUCUACAGUAAAGUUCGCCAAGAAGCCAAAGAUGAAGAGAUGGGAUUACAAGAAUAUCCAGGAAAUGUUAUUACAUCUUUAUCAUUGAUGAUGAGUGCGAUACGAAGUAUUCGGUUACUAUCUAUUAUACCACUUUACGUAUGGUACUGGAGUCAAAAUCAGUUGUCGCUUUGGAAUAAUCCGGCAAAUAUGGAUAUUCCCAUCUCUAUUGAUGCUUCAGGACGAUUUGUUAAAAAAUUGAAUAUUUUUGAUGAUAACAACAGUUCUGCAAUAUUUUUGUACAACAUCACCAUUAGGAUUAAAUCAAAAAUAUAUAGCAUUUGUCAAAUGUUAUCCAGUCGUCAUGAUUUAGCUAAUAUAUUUUCGUGGCUUCAUGGAUGGCUAACAAGUGGAGCAUCAAUACCAAAGCAAGUUGUAGUUGACUGUUUGUUAGCUCUUCUAAAUGGAAUAUGCUUGGCAUUUAACAAAUUCACUUAUAACGAAUCUGGCUCUUCUCGAAGACACUAUAACAGCUAUACUUGAAAUUUGUCAAUCACAAUCUAUUAAUGAAGGUAGUGAGUGUUAUAAGAAAUUUCAGUGGUUAGAAGAAAAAAUUGCAUCAUUUGAUUACAACAGUAAAUACGAAGGUAUAUUGAAAGAUUUAAGUUGUGAAUAUGAAACAUGUAAUCUUAUUAAUGAAACAAAUGACAAAAAUGAUGAUGAUGAUAUCAAGGAUUUCAUCAAUGGAAUCAGAAUGAAGAGUGAAUCUUUAGCAUCAAAUGAUGAAAACUUUUUAUUGCCAAAUAGUUAUUAUCUAUCUAAAUUGAUGGACAAUUUAAUAAAUUUGUUUAGUCAAUUUCCAGCAUGGACAAAUGUGAUGCACAGAUUUUAUGAGUUUGAACCAAAUACGGUUUCCACGACAACUGCAUCAGAAUGCUAUUAUCGAAUCAUGAGAAGGGAAUAUGGUUUUAAUUGCCCAGUAACUUUAAAUCGAUUCAUUUUAUUAUAUCUACCUUUAAUUGAUGGAGCUACAAAACUCGGAAUAGGUGCUUUAAAAAAAAUAAAAACAGAUGAACUUGACACAGAUGUUCAGAUUAAAUCAAAACAAUCAACGAGUGUUGAAGUGUUGGAAAAAGUUUACAAGAGAAUUAUUACAAGAGUUAUUACAAGAGACAGUCAAUAUUAAUAAUAAUAACCUUGAUGAUGAUGCCAAAAGUGUAACACUUUUUGCUAAACUGUUGUUAGACUCAAGACCAUUUAAAUAUGAUAUAAACCUAGCUCUAUAUAAUUACAAUCAAGAGAUGAGUUUUCUUAAAGGAAAAGAUCAUAUUUUAUCAUUAUCUGAAUUUCAAACUUUGAAACCAAAGACGUAUGUAGAUGGAUCAGUAAUCGAUAGUUACAUGAUUGCUAAGUCAAAUACUCAGUGGGAAAAUAGAUAUUUUUUCCAAGUAAUCAAACAAAUUUCAUACUUCGCGCACAGGCUGAUGGAGAACAUCCAAAAACGUGGAAGAUGUAUAACAUCCACUUUGAGUUUCAAGGAAAGAUAUUUAUUCCAUACUGCUAUGGAAAGCAUUGGUGCCUUCUAAUGCUUAAUAUUGAUGACCAAACAAUUGAGCACUUUGAUCCACUAGGCCUUGAUCGAGGAAAUCGAGCCAUUACAGUUUUUCUGGUUUUUUUAAAUCAAUGCAACUCAGAAUAAGAAAAUAAUUUGUGUAAAAUACAAUGGAAAAUCAGAGAAUCAAGUAUCCAGUUUCCAAAACAAAAAGACAGUUAUAAUUGUGGUAUUUUUAUCAUGUAUUAUAUGGAUGUAUUGGCUAAAAACGAAAAACCUUCUUUAUUUUUUGAUCCAGAUAAGUAUCGCUUAGAGAUUACUCAUUUUCUCAUGGUGCAAAUAGAGUCGAUAAAAAAUGUUUGUUUAUAUUGCUACAAAAGAGAGAUAAAGGACAAAGUAACAUGCAAUAAAUGUGAUAGAUGGGCACACAACAAGUGUACAAAAAGAGUUUCUCAAAACUUUCUUCAUGGAAAGUGUGACUUAUGCGCCAUUCUUAACAAUUAAAAUUAUAGAAUGAAUAGAAUACAAUAAUUAUACCAAAGUUUAUUUUUAAAUGGAUACUUAUUCGACAUUAUAUAAAAAUAAAGAUGUAGUUUACUUUUGUUCUUGUAAAAAUGUAUAAUAUUUCAUAAUAAGUUAAUGUAUAUAAGAUAAAACUACUUAUUUGUUCGUCCUCAAUAUAUUCUGCGCACUAUUUGUUUAGUAAUCUCUUAAAAACCAUGUAUUUACCUAUGUUGUUACACCUGUAUUCUUGAAAUAAAUAAAACCGCUUGUGACUAUUAAAAAACA